rnacentral:piRNA from 1 species
UUUAAAGUACCUGGACGUAGAAAGUGCUG